rnacentral:sRNA from 1 species
UGUAAAAUUUACAGAAAGAGUGUUACACCGUGCGCUCCAAAGGUAAUGUCUCAUUACUCUAAGGCUCUCUCUUUCUUUGCCUUUAUCUCUUUAAUUCUGUUGUUAUGUGCAUUGAAACAUUUUAAGAAAAAAAAAACUUUCUGCUUUAUCUGUAUAGCAGCAGUACAUGUAAAACAAGUGCAUUUUAUUUUUCAUGGUUAAUCCUGGGAACUAUAUUUUAACUUCAGUGGCUUGUUUCCACCAAGUUCCUGUACAUCUUCUGGUGGGGGAGUGGGGUUAUUAGUUUAUAGUAUGGUUUUAGUUCUCAUUUCAGUGUGGAAUUAGUCAUUUCUGUAUAAGGGCAAAAGGUUCUCUGAUAAUGGUAUAAAACUAUAGAUUGUUGUUGGAGUAGCAGUGACACUUGUCAAUUUCUAGGAUUUAUAAGGCUUAAAUACCCUGCACACAUGUUUUUUAAAGUAGAUUUAGGGGUCGGGGAAACUGAAAAAUCACUGUCUUUAAGUACAAGAGAAAAAUGGAAAUGCAUAAAUAUUGAAAGGUUUUAUAAUUUGAAAUGUUCUCUGUGGUUUUUUCUUUUUUAAAAGGUAUGUUUUCAUAAGCAUAUAUAAAUUUAAACAUUUUUGAUAGCCUCUGGCCUUAACUUACUGAGCAUGUGUCACCAUUGCACAGCUCUUUAAACAGCUGCUUUUAAGAUCAAUGCAAUUUUUUUUUAAUUGAAAGUUUUGAAAGAUUAAGAGUUAGUGAGAUGAGCUCUCUGCCUCUUUUAGUAGAAUUGAAUAGUCUGGACUGUGCAUAUUAUUUCUCUCUGCCCUUUUGUAACCCUCUUUGGCUAAUGUUCUCUGUUCAUCCACGUAUUAGCCAAGUGCCAGUAACCCUGCUUUACAUUGGGAUUUCUACUCCUGGAAUGUAGGUUGAGAACCCCAGAGGGCUUCUUUUUGUUAAAUACUUUUAGUAUUCUUAAUAUGUAAUCUAAUCCAAUUAAAGUACAGAUUUAUAUUUCUGUAUCUUGAGUUGCAGAUGCAAGUAAUGGACUUAAAUCAUUGACAUCAGGUUUAGGCACUAUGGGCAGGCUGAGUUGUCCUUGAAAGAGUCAUUCCUGUCUUCAUUUGUUUUCUGCACUACUAUAAAGGACCAAGUUUGCCUAUUCUUGGCAGUUUUCAUUUGAAUUAAAAACUAAACUUGAAUGUCAUAAAGAUAGCUAUUCCAUCCUCAAAUUGAGUCUCAAGUAGUAUGUUGCUGCAUCGCUACACUACUCUGGAAUGUUUUAUUUCACCAUUUUCUCCAAAGGUUUGCCAUAAAGUGGUUUUUACAGCCUUUCUAUUAGCCAAGAUGGCAAAUUGAAUUGGGCUCUUUAUGUUUUAAGAAAAAUUUGCAGGCUUUUCUCAAUACUACAGAAUCUGUGAGUUGUGGGAGAAAGGAUCAAAGAAGGAGAAGGAAUGUAUCUAAUGAGGAAACCAUACAUUGUUUUUACUUCUACAUAUUUGGGGCUGAUCCCAUACACUGUAGAAAAAUGUACUUUCUUAAAAGCACUCUUGGCCGGGCGUGGUGGCUCACGCCUAUAAUCCCAGCACUUUGGGAGGCUGAGGCAGGCGGAUCACCUGAGGUCAGGAGUUUGAGACCAGCCUGGCCAACAUGGUGAAACCCCGUCUCUACUAAAAUUACAGAAAUUAGACGGGCCUAGUGGCGCAUGUCUGUAUUCCCAGCUACUCAGGAGGCUGAGGCAGGAGAAUCACUUGAAUCCGGGAGGCAGAGGUUGCACUGAGCCGAGAUCGUGCCAUCGCACUCCAGCCUGGGCAACAGAGUGAGACUCCAUCUCAAAAUAAACAAAUAAAAAUAAAAGCACUCUUCUUUCAUAUAAUAGAAUCACUAGCUUCUGUACCAAUUUCUUGUCUUUAGUGUACUUUGGUAAAGUUUUAUAAUUAAAGCACAUUUCUAUCUUGAAGUUACCAUCCAAGGUGGUUUCUGGAUGCUAUUUUAAUGGUUUAAACACUAGUGGCUCACUAAUUCACUAGAUAGUUUUUGUUCUGUUUUCUUUUUGCUGCCUGUUUUUAUAAUUACAUUGGCAUGAAUUUCCACUUUUCAAUCUUCUAAGGAAUAUCUGAGAUUUGUGCUUUUAAAACUUAAUAUUUCCUUUAAAAUUCUGGAACUUCUUAAGUUGACAUUUUAAUUUUUUUAAAUUAAAUUCUGUAGUGCUCUUACAGAACUGAAUAUUCUUAAUGUAAGUAUAAGCAUUACAACUCCUUGUAGAAUAAAUAUUUUUAGCAUUGUUACGAAGGUUAAAAACUGGGUUUUGUUCACUUACAUGUCUUAAAAUUGCCUUAAAAUGAAUACAGAAAUUUAUAUGGGAGCUUCUAGUACAGUUGACUGCUUUAACAUGGCCUGACAUCUAGUGAUAUUUUUCUGUCUUUCAAAUUUCUGUUUUCUAUCUCUUAAAUAUCUGUUUCUCAUUCUUAUAAAUCAAGAUGUUUGUGGUAUAUAAUUCUGAGUCUAAUUAUCUGCUUUUGAAUUUUUUCCACUCCAAUUCAUAUAAUGUGAAGAUCUGUGAAAAUGCUAUGGGAAAACUAGCUUGGGUUCAAAAUAUCUUAACCAAAUAUACCCUGUAGGCUUCCCAAGAGUGACUGUCUGACAGUUGGUGACUGUAGAAGAAGCCGGUUGGGUGUUUUCUGGGCCAAGGAAAUUUAAAAUGUCUGUAAUGUUAUCCAUCAUUACUUUUUGCUGUCAGAAGGGAUGGCAGAUUGAAGCUUUUCUCCCUAUCGCAUUUUCAGAGUUGCUGUGUCAGAGCUCCACCUUGGGUGAAGGAAGAUGGGCAGGAAUUCUGGAAACAGAACUCCUAAGACCUACCUCUGCCUGCAUAAAAAUGUGGACUGACUCAGUAUGAGAAAUAACAAAUAAGAAAACAUUUAAGUGUUUGGGGCAAAUGUUAAUCACACUUUCUUUCCAUAGGGCAAAUAGGAGGUGCUUUUCUUAUUUAAUUACGCUGAUAAAUUUUGAGGGUUUUUUUUUUUUUAAGUGUUUUGUUGUUUUGGAGUUGAGAGUAACUUUAAUUUUUAUGUGUAUUCAUGCUGUGUAUUUAUGGCUACAAGUCAAACUGAUUUCAUAUGUAUACAUACAUAUAGUCUAAUAGAGAUGAUUGUAAUUCAUUAUAAUCUUGAGUUUUUUAAAUUAGUAAGAUGGCUACUAUUGCUGUUUUGGGGUUUUUAAGAUUAGAUAUAUAUCAUGUUUAACUUUUUCCCCUAUCUUUUUAUCUUUACUUCUUUGUUCUCUACAUGCUGUGUUUAAACCUUUCUGCUCUCUUCACCUGAACACAUCGUGUUUGACAUCAUCUUUGUGUUGAUGUUUAUUACAUAGUACCACAAAGCCUGCUCCGCACCUGGAUGGGUAAGAGUUACAUUCUUACUACAUUGGGGAAGUGUUUGGGUGGCCAGCCAUAAAGAGAGAUUGGACCAUGGUUGAGCCCUCAAGGGAGCGCUUUUGAUGUCUGGCUUAAUCUCAUAGCAAAAGCUAUUCCUUAGGAUCACAGAAUAUACUCGUUUUGAGACCCCACGGCUCUCAUAUCACUGAAGGAGUCAAUCUGUACUCAUGGAUGGGCUUCUCAGCAAUAUAAUUCUUUUUUUUUUUUUUUUUUUUCCAGUUUUCCAAAAUGGGUCAGAUAGUAAGCAGUACAAUUUCAUGUGUCCCUGUAAGGAAGGUUCCCAAGUACCAAGCGAAGUCUGAAUGUUACCAGACUCUUUACCCUAAAAUGGUUAAGAACCAUUGUUUUAAAGGCAGAAAACUGAGGCCCAGUUUGCAUAAUCGUUUCCUUUUAUGAAGCAGAUUUCAAGUUCUCAUUCCAUUCUAGUUGCUUCAUACAACAAACAGUUUGGUUUUAUUUUCAGGUCUGUGGACAUGUCAUUGAUUACAGUUAAUUGUCUUGAUUACUGUUUGUAGCUUAAUUAUCAAACCAGUCGUUUCUUGAAUUUGUAUUAUGACAGGGUGCAUGUUGUCUUUGGACUGGUUAUUUCUGGUUUUGAAGUAAUCGAACAAAUUGAAAAUCUGAAGACCGAUGCUGCAAGCAGACCAUAUGCAGAUGUGCGAGUUAUUGACUGUGGAGUACUUGCCACAAAAUCAAUAAAAGAUGUUUUUGAGAAAAAAAGGAAGAAACCAACUCAUUCAGAAGGCUCGGAUUCCUCUUCCAAUUCCUCUUCUUCAGAAUCAUCUUCAGAAAGUGAAAUUGAACAUGAGAGAAGCAGAAGGAGGAAACAUAAGAGGAGGCCAAAAGUUAAACGUUCUAAAAAGAGGCGAAAGGAAGCAAGCAGUUCAGAAGAGCCAAGGAAUAAACAUGUAAUGAACCCAAAAGGUCACUCUGAGAGGAGUGAUACCAAUGAAAAAAGGUCAGUUGAUUCCAGUGCUAAAAGGGAAAAACCUGUGGUCCGCCCAGAAGAGAUUCCUCCAGUGCCUGAGAACCGAUUUUUACUAAGAAGAGAUAUGCCUGUUGUUACUGCAGAACCUGAACCGAAGAUUCCUGAUGUUGCACCCAUUGUAAGUGAUCAGAAACCAUCUGUAUCAAAGUCUGGACGGAAGAUUAAAGGAAGGGGCACAAUUCGCUAUCACACACCUCCAAGAUCAAGAUCCUGUUCUGAGUCAGAUGAUGAUGACAGCAGUGAAACUCCUCCUCACUGGAAAGAGGAAAUGCAGAGAUUAAGAGCAUAUAGACCACCUAGUGGAGAAAAAUGGAGUAAAGGAGAUAAGUUAAGUGACCCCUGUUCAAGCCGAUGGGAUGAAAGAAGCUUGUCUCAGAGAUCCAGAUCAUGGUCCUAUAAUGGAUAUUAUUCAGACCUUAGUACAGCAAGACACUCUGAUGGCCACCAUAAAAAACGCAGAAAAGAAAAAAAGGUUAAGCAUAAAAAGAAAGGGAAAAA